rnacentral:rRNA from 1 species
UACGUAGGCAGCAAGCGUUGUUCGGAGUUACUGGGCGUAAAGAGUGCGUAGGCGGUCCUGUAAGUUUGGUGUGAAAUCUCCCGGCUCAACUGGGAGGGUGCGCCGAAGACUGCAGGGCUUGAGUAUGGGAGAGGUAAGCGGAAUUCCAGGUGUAGCGGUGAAAUGCGUAGAUAUCUGGAGGAACACCGGUGGCGAAGGCGGCAUCCUGGACCAACACUGACACUGAGGAGCGAAAGCCAGGGGAGCAAACGGG